CAUUACGUGUAGGAGUUGAUGUUCCUGAGAAGGUGAUAAAUUGUACUCUACACCAAAGAAAAGUGCAGGUCAAUAGAAGACAGCUACUUCAUUGCCAGCAAAGGGAAGAGGGAGGGAUAUUUCGUUCAGACACACACGUUACCUUGUCUACUGGUUUAUUAGCUGCCUUCAGGUGAGUUGAAUGAAAGCAGGUGAUGCAACUAUGCUUCAAAUCAUGUAAAAGGGAUGCAUUUUCCCCUUCUACCUUUUCAUCCUGUCAUAGGAAACUGUGGAGAUCAAUAAUGCAGUGAAUACUAAAUGUAACAAGUGGGAGACCCAGCAGAAGGAAAGUGAGUUAAAGAGUUAAAGCAUUGGUAAGACUAAGAGGGAGAAGGAAGUGUCUAUGGUUCUCCAGGUGGCUGUGUUUCCAGCAGCUUCCUGAAUUUAACACCCUACUGCUGUGAGUACCUCUAGCUUCUCUAGUUACACAAGUCAGAGAAUCUCAUAACAGACUGAUGUCCUUCCUGAUGGACUUUUUGGUAGAAAUACCUCAGUCUGGACCUUGUCUAGCCCGGUUGGGUAUAGCUGAGCGUCAGCAUUCAGUGCACCCAGGCGGAGCUCAAAUGCCUUGCUGACUCAGAUGUGGAGCUGAGACUCGCAUUCCUCAAAGUACCAGAAUUCUUCAGAGGUGUGUUGUCAUGCAGAGGAUGGCAGUCCUUUGUUUACCGUAUGCAGUAAGAAGACAGAAGAGCUUGCUUCAUUCCCAGCCCUCAAACAGAUUUCCUGCAGGACUUCAAACAAGUCAUCAGAGCUGGUGGAGCUGGACAGACAGCUGAGUUCAGUAUGCAUAAACUUUGUGAGGGAAAGGUAAGCAUAUUUAAUGAGCUCAGUUCACUCCUGGGUCACGCCAGGAGCAGAAGGACAAGACCUCCAUCAUUGGAAAGACCACCCAGAGAGGAGGAAGCUGUGCUUGCCCAGGAAGGAGGAAAAGCAAGAAGAUCCCAAUGGUUUUCCUUCAGAGCCCAAGCCAUGACUACCAGCUGCCUCCACAGCAGAAGUCGAGGGGCCCCAACCAUGGAGAAGGGGCCUGUUUCUUUUCAGCGUGAGUACACCUCGUUUCCUUUGUGCUGGCAAGGCUGUCUGUAGACAAGAGAAUACAAAUGCAACACGCUCUUUGGUUUUCUUUAUGAUGGCCUUUUAGUUUGUUGGGAGUUUUUGUUUCCAUGAUUUUACAUCAUUCUGCUGUUCCUAUAUCUGAAAGGGAAAUAAAAUAGAAACUAGUAUAUUCAUGACAGCUACUGUACAUGGAGGA